AAGGCGGAAUUCUUUAAAAUUCUUUCUACGGAGGAAACAGGCGCGGCUCGAUGCCAGCGAUGGGAGGAAGCGACCUCAAAGGGCUGAAGGGAAAAUGCUCAGAUCUACGCCCUGCAGAUUCAUCACCGAAAGACAGACUGAGACCCACGAAGUCCGUGAAGGCGGGUCACACGCACACAGGCUCCUCUGAGAAACCGGCCGGGGCGGGUGCUCCGCAGAAAGAGAAGGGUCAGCAGUUGGGCCCAACCCCCGGGACGUCCCUGGGCGGGACGGUCACUGACCACGCGGCUCAGCAGUAACAAACCCAACCAGGGUCCAUGAGGACGCAGGUUCAACCCCUCGCCGCGCUCCAUGGCUCAGGAUCUGGUCUUGCCGUGAGCUGAGGUGUAGGUCGCAGACGCAGCUCGGAUCCCGCGUUGCUGUGGUGUAGGCCAGCAGCUGUAGCUCUAAUUCGACCCCUAGCCUGGAAACGUCCAUGUGUCCUGGGUGCAGCCCCAAAAGGCAAAAGAAAAUAGAAAGAAAGAAAUUCACCGUUUACUGAAUCAUCGCGCCCUCUGCAGACACGCAUGUCUCGAGCGACCUAGAACUAAAUUCUAGGCUGUUCGAUUUCCCGAGGCAGCUGGGGUGCGCGCGUUGUUUGGAGGUGGGAGACAGGGUUCAUGUCACCUCAUUAAACUCUUGAAAAAUACAAAGGCUUUGUAGGGAGGAGCAGCCACAGGAGGAAAAGCGCUGACUGUAUAUACAACCUCCAGGGUCGGCUGGCUGGAUCCAGUUGUCCUCUCUGGAAGGGGCUGAAACCCGUGUAAACAGAAAAGUCAGAGAGACGGAACACGUCCCAAGCGGCGAUAAUCACAGGGGCGUUUGACUCUUCAAAGGGCUGCCGGAGAUGACAAGACACAGCUUCCAGCUUCUGGCCAUGAUGCAGUAACCCUCCAGGACCCCAGACCAUUCCAAGCUGGCAGGUAGAUGAGGAAACGGGUUUUAUACAUUUCAAUGGGGAAGGGUUAGUGUUUUCAACAAGAGGUGCCCCAGGGCGUCCAAAUGCCACCAGACACAAACGAAACGCAGUCAAUACAGAGAGAAAGGGGAAGAACGCCCCCGAGACCGCAGACAGUGGCCCGAGUCAGGGCGACUGGACAGAGGCCCGCGCGGGGGACAGGGACACAGACCUGCUUUCGUUUAUUCAGACGGAGGACACGACUCCACAGCUAACGACACAACUAUUCGCAGAUGAGACAAGGUCACAGAGGGGCUCGGCCACAUGGCACCCCCGAGGGGAGGGAGGGCGGGGCUGCACACGGGUUGUCCGCUCACACCAGGGCAGGGACGGGCAUUGCCAGCCCAGGCGAGGGUCAGAGCCAGCGCUGCCCCGGGGCACAAGCUGGAAGGGGCCGGGAGGGGGCUCCAGGGACGGGGCCUUGGGGCCAAAUUUAGUAAAACCCACUGAUCUGAGGGCUUAAGACCAGGGAUUUUGCCAGAGGUACAUUUACCUCCAUCGAUAACCCCCCUGGGGACAAACACCCCCAAGGGCCGGGGGGUGGCUCUGGAGGGGACGUGAGAGCUGCGCCCCGCGUGCGGUUUCCCGACUCGUGUCUGAGUCUCAAAGGAGGAGAAGCAGAAACAAGAAGGGGCUCCGGUCUCUCCCGACCCAGAAAAGAGCGUGUGUGGCUGGGCCGCCCCACGUCCGCGCUGGAUCCACUUACAUAAGGCGGAUUGAGGCGCUUACGUGCGGAACCUGCUGCCUCCUCGGGCCGGUGGCCACCCGGUCCUGGGUCCUGCUGAACUGGCUGCCUGGGCUUGUGCCCGGUGCCUGGAUCCGGCCCCAGGGACCCCCGGGGAGGCGAGCGCCGACCAAAGCUGGGCAGACCAGGCCCUAAAUGUGCUGGGGCUGCUCCUGCUUCCCAGGCGGCUGGGGGGGGCUACGACCCCCCCCAUACACCCCACUCCGCUGCCCCAGCUUUGCCGCCCGGCUGGCCCUUGGCAGCCAGUGUUCAGUUCACCAGGAGCUCAGUCUGAACUUCACUGAAUUAUUCAUUCUGUUCCCCCAAGUACGCGGGGGCGGGGGGGGGACGCGGGGCUCCAACCUGCCAGCCACACCCCGAGACCCUGGGAUCUGAGAGGCGAGAGGCGGGAGUGUGACCAUCAUAGGGGGGGAGUCCCCUCCCCCUGAGGGGGAGGGCAGGGGCCCUCCAACCGGAUGGCAUUCCUGGGGGAGUGGCCACCAGGUCCUGCUCACCCCCUCCCCCGGGGCACCUGGAGCCUGAGGGUUCCGAGGAAUCAGGACAGCUGGGGCAGCGCCACCCUUGACCCGCAUCCAGGGCCGAGUCUUCCCAGGGUCACAGGGACACGGCAGAUGCCGCCUGGUGCUCAGCCUUGAUGGGGGACACUGGGCCCCAGGACCUCUCUCCCACCUCCUGGCAGGGCAGCCCUGUGUGGUGUGGGCAGAGGCUCCUGGGCUGUGUGGGAGCCCCCCCAGGGACCACACCCCACAGGGUCCUGAGUCAGAGGAUGAGAUGUCCUCAGGGACGGGGUUCAUUGUGGCGCCCACGUCAGAGAGGCCCUUCCCGUGUCUGUGCCCAGAGGAGCCCCCAGGCUGGGCGCAGAGGGGAGCCCCCCAGGCUGGGCGCAGAGGGGAGCCCCCCAGGCUGGGAGCAGAGGGGAGCCCCCCAGGCUGGGAGCAGAGGGGAGCCCCCCAGGCUGGGAGCAGAGGGGAGCCCCCCAGGCUGGGAGCAGAGGGGACCCCCCAGGCGGGGAGCAGAGGGGAGCCCCCAGGCGGGGAGCAGAGGGGAGCCCCCCAGGCUGGGAGCAGAGGGGAGCCCCCAGGCGGGGAGCAGAGGGGAGCCCCCCAGGCUGGGAGCAGAGGGGAGCCCCCCAGGCUGGGAGCAGAGGGGAGCCCCCAGGCUGGGAGCAGAGGGGAGCCCCCAGGCGGGGCGCAGAGGGGAGCCCCCCAGGCGGGGUGUCCUGGAGAAUUGACAAGGAACCCGGACCAGGCCCCUCGCCAAGGAUCAGGGCCCACGGGGGCCUGGGGGGUGUCACCAGGGCCCUGACAAGUGCUUGCCCGAGACCCCCAGCACCCCUGGAAGGGGGACUUCUAGACUCCCCAGCGCCCGCGGCCCCUCCCCCACGGGACCUGCCCCCUGAUUCUCCUCCAGGCAGGACCAGACCCAGCAACUCCACCCCAAGGCCCCAUGGGCACGAGACCUGGCUUUUCACUCAUUUGCCCAGAAGGACCGAAAUAAAUGCCCUGCUUGGAUCUGCUGGCAAAUGACUCUCCUCUGGGGUCAGAGAGCAGGUCCAAGGACCCAAGAUGCCCACGCGCGGGGAGGUGGGGGGCGGCCAGGCCGGGCUCAGUGCCUGGGCCUCGAGGACCCAGGUGGGGGGCGCUU
rnacentral:lncRNA from 1 species